ACUACGGGUGGCAGCAGUGGGGAAUAUUGGGCAAUGGGCGCAAGCCUGACCCAGCAACGCCGCGUGAAGGAAGAAGGCUUUCGGGUUGUAACCUUCUUUUCUCAGGGACGAAGAAAGUGACGGUACCUGAGGAAUAAGCCACGGCUAACUACGUGCCAGCAGCCGCGGUAAUACUUAGGUGGCAAGCUUUCUCAGGAUUUAUUGGGUGUAAAGGGCGUGUAGGCCGGAGCUGAAGUCAGAUCUGAAAACUCAGGGCUCAACCCUGAGCCUGCAUUUGAAACUGUGGUUCUUGAGGGCUGGAGAGGCAAUCGGAAUUCCGUGUGUAGCGGUGAAAUGCGUAGAUAGACGGAGGAACACCAGUGGCGAAGGCGGAUUGCUGGACAGUAACUGACGCUGAGGCGCGAAAGCGUGGGGAGCAAACAGGAUUAGAUACCCCAGUAGUC
rnacentral:rRNA from 1 species